AGUGAACGCUGGCGGUAGGCCUAACACAUGCAAGUCGAACGGCAGCACAGUAAGAGCUUGCUCUUACGGGUGGCGAGUGGCGGACGGGUGAGGAAUACAUCGAAAUCUACUUUUUCGUGGGGGAUAACGUAGGGAAACUUACGCUAAUACCGCAUACGACCUACGGGUGAAAGCAGGGGAUCUUCGGACCUUGCGCGAUUGAAUGAGCCGAUGUCGGAUUGGCUAGUUGGCGGGGUAAAGGCCCACCAAGGCGACGAUCCGUAGCUGGUCUGAGAGGAUGAUAAGCCACACUGGAACUGAGACACGGUCCAGACUCCUACGGGAGGCAGCAGUGGGGAAUAUUGGACAAUGGGCGCAAGCCUGAUCCAGCCAUACCGCGUGGGUGAAGAAGGCCUUCGGGUUGUAAAGCCCUUUUGUUGGGAAAGAAAGGCAGCAGGUUAAUACCCCGCUGUUCUGACGGUACCCAAAGAAUAAGCACCGGCUAACUUCGUG
rnacentral:rRNA from 1 species